rnacentral:rRNA from 1 species
UACGUAGGCAGCGAGCGUUGUUCGGAGUUACUGGGCGUAAAGAGUGCGUAGGCGGUUUUCUAAGUUUGGUGUGAAAUCUCCCGGCUUAACUGGGAGGGUGCGCCGAAAACUGGAAGGCUUGAGUAUGGGAGAGGUAAGCGGAAUUCCUGGUGUAGCGGUGAAAUGCGUAGAUAUCUGGAGGAACACCGGUGGCGAAGGCGGCAUCCUGGACCGGUAUUGACGCUGAGGCGCGAAAGCCAGGGGAGCAAACGGG